AUUAAUUCGAUGCAACGCGAAGAACCUUACCUGGGUUUGACAUGCGCCGGGAGGUCGCAGAGAUGUGGCUGCCCUUCGGGGCCGGCGUGCAGGUGGUGCAUGGCUGUCGUCGGCUCGUGUCGUGAGAUGUUGGGUUAAGUCCCGCAACGAGCGCAACCCUCGUCCUGUGUUGCCAGCGCGUAAUGGCGGGGACUCGCAGGAGACUGCCGGGGUCAACUCGGAGGAAGGUGGGGAUGACGUCAAGUCAUCAUGCCCCUUAUGUCCAGGGCUUCACACAUGCUACAAUGGCCGGUACAGAGGGCGGCGAUGCCGUGAGGCGGAGCGAAUCCCUUAAAGCCGGUCUCAGUUCGGAUCGGGGUCUGCAACUCGACCCCGUGAAGUCGGAGUCGCUAGUAAUCGCAGAUCAGCAACGCUG
rnacentral:rRNA from 1 species